rnacentral:sRNA from 1 species
AUUUUUAGUAGAGACGGGGUUUCACUGUGUUAGCCAGGAUGGUCUCGAUCUCCUGACCUCAUGAUCCGCCCGCCUCGGUCUCCCAAAGUGCUGGGAUUACAGGCGUGAGCCACUGCACCCGGCCAGCCCUGUGGACUUCUAAGCCAGCGAGUGCCUCUUCUGCUGCCCUAAACCACACUUAGCCUCCUUUCCACCCCUGCAGGUAUCUUGGAGAUGGCCGCUUCCAUCUGGAGUCUGUCAUGAUUGCCAACCCCAAUGUCCCCGCUUACCGGUAUGACCCAUAUAGCAAAGUCCUAUCCAGAGAACACUAUGACCACCAGCGCAUGCAGGCUGCUCGCCAAGAAGCCAUAGCCACUGCCCGCUCAGCUAAGUCCUGGGGCCUUAUUCUGGGCACUUUGGGCCGCCAGGGCAGUCCUAAGAUCCUGGAGGUCAGUGGGCUCAGGACAGCCUCUGGAGGAGGGAAGUGACUGGGAACACAGCUGGGAAAACCAGUAGGCCACAGGUUCAGCUUUGGCUGCUUGACCAGGUGACCCCC